rnacentral:lncRNA from 1 species
GAGGCAGGGCAGCUCCUACCGUCCCUGCGGCAUGCAAGGUGUUGUCAGCUCCAGGUCUCUAUGUGACCUUGGGCAGGGACAGCGGGAUGUGGAAGUCGCAAAGCAGCACACUCUGGCAUUCCCAUGAAGCAAAAGACAGGCAACCCCGAGCAGAGGAGCCCUUAUGGACUCUCUGGAAAAGAAAAGAACUUAGAAUCCAGAAAUUCUACUUGAGCUCAGACUUUCAAUCAAAGGCUCAGGCUGAACUGAAUCAGCGUGGUGCUGGUUGUGGGAGGCCCACCUGAGGAUUGUUGCGAACAGCAUAAAAGGAGAACUGGCG